rnacentral:tRNA from 1 species
GGCUAGAUGGCAGAACGGUAAAUGCAAAAGAUUGCAAAUCUUUAUAUAUUGGUUCGAUUCCAAUUCUAGCUU